UACGUAGGGUGCAAGCGUUGUCCGGAAUUAUUGGGCGUAAAGAGCUCGUAGGCGGUUUGCUAAGUCAUGUGUGAAAUCCCCCGGCUUAACCGAGGAACGACGCAUGAUACUGGCAAGCUAGAGUACCAAAGAGGCGAGUGGAAUUCCUGGUGUAGCGGUGAAAUGCGCAGAUAUCAGGAGGAACACCGGUGGCGAAGGCGGGUCUCUGGGCCGAUACUGACGCUGAGGAGCGAAAGCGUGGGGAGCGAACAGG
rnacentral:rRNA from 1 species